AACGAACGCUGGCGGCAUGCCUAACACAUGCAAGUCGAACGAGACCUUCGGGUCUAGUGGCGCACGGGUGCGUAACGCGUGGGAACCUGCCCUUAGGUUCGGAAUAACUCCCCGAAAGGGGUGCUAAUACCGGAUAAUGUCUUCGGACCAAAGAUUUAUCGCCUUUGGAUGGGCCCGCGUUGGAUUAGCUAGUUGGUAGGGUAAAAGCCUACCAAGGCGACGAUCCAAAGCUGGUCUGAGAGGAUGAUCAGCCACACUGGGACUGAGACACGGCCCAGACUCCUACGGGAGGCAGCAGUGGGGAAUAUUGGACAAUGGGCGAAAGCCUGAUCCAGCAAUGCCGCGUGAGUGAUGAAGGCCUUAGGGCUGUAAAGCUCUUUUACCCGGGAUGAUAAUGACAGUACCGGGAGAAUAAGCUCCGGCUAACUCCGUG
rnacentral:rRNA from 1 species